rnacentral:rRNA from 1 species
GAGCAGAGUGUCAAAGCAGGCAGAUCCAAUUUUCUGCCACCGAAUACAUUAGCAUGGGAUAAUGGAAUAGGACCCUGUCCUCCUAUUUUCAGUUGGUUUUGCACGCGAGGACCAGGUAAUGAUUAUAGG